GUUGUUUUAAAUUUGGGGCGGCAUGGUCAUUAAUUAUUUUAUACAUGUAAAUAGAUUUUGUAUAGUUGCGUCUCUGGUCUAAAAAGAUUCCCAACCUAACAUAUUCAGCACAUCAACAGAUCGAAUACCAAAAGUAGACCUCGUUAUAACUCUCGGAGCGCGAUUCUGCAAUCUUCGAAGCUUUUCCCUAAUAUCACUUCCACAAUUGUCCCAAAGAGGGCUACAAUAAUCAAAGUACCGUUGCACCAGAAAAUUAUAUGUUAGCUUAAGUGUUUCUAGUGGUACAAAAGGCUUCAUUCUUCUAAUAAUUCCAAUUCCAUCCCCCAACUUUUGCGCAAAUAUUAUCUAUAUGUUUUUCCCAAGUGAACCUUUCAUCUAGGUCAACACCCAGGCAUGUGUAGUUUUCCGUCCUGGGGACUGGUACAUUACUAAUUAAAAUUGGGUUCUGAGAAAUUUUGAUUUUAAUAGACGAUCCAAUAUAGCUACAUAUGUUUUGUCUUUGUUGUAUGAAUUUGAAGCUUAUUUCGUAACAUCCAUUUACGGACAUUUUCAAGAGCACAGUUCAUAUUGGUGACCAUGCAGCUCGUCACCAUCUUUAGCAGAUGCAUAAAUUUCCGUGCAUCUGCAUACAUAGAAGGAGUGCAAAAUUUUAAAGAUUUAGGCAUAAGAAACAGCAACGGCCCCAAGAUCGAACCCUGCGGGAUUCCACAAACUGUUUUCUUAGUUGAUGAAAUCUGGCCAUUAACCGUACAUUGUUGCUCCCUGUUGGUUAGGCAAGAUUGAAACCAUUCCAGUUCAGUGCCGAUUAUGCCAAAAUGGUCAUGCAUUUUUUGUAGCAGUAUUUCAUGAUUUAUUGAGUCAAACGGUUUUCGAACGUCAAGAAAUACUACACAAUUCAAAUUUCCGUUAUCCAUGUUUUGCAACCACUCAUCACACAUUUCUAUCAAUGCUGAUAAUGUUGAAUGCUUUGGGCUAAAUCCGGAUUGAUAUCUAGAAAGCAAAGAGUUCUCAGAGAGGUGAUGGUACAAUUUUUAAAAAUUGGCAAUAUAGAAAUCGGCCGAUAAUUUUCGCAUUUCUUUUUAUAUCAGAUUUAUAAAUAGAGGUUACACGAGCACGUUUCCUGUCGUCAACAUAGAUGCCAGUCGCAAGUGAUAAAUUGAAUAUAACCGUUAGCGACGGAGCGAUAACUCUGAUGCUAAUUUUAGGAUUUUGGCUAGUAUUUUGUCCAGCCCAGUAGAUUUGUUAGCUUUUAGAUUGCGGAGAUUCAUGGAUACAUUUUCGAUACUAAUUUCGAAAAAGCAGAAUGGCGAAUUCGAUAUGGGACCAGGACGGCUGCAAUUGUUUGGAAAACCUUCAUCAUGAAACUUUCUGCUCGCUUCAGAUAGUAGUUUAGGGCCAAUGUUAGCGAAAUAGUCAUUAAAAGAUUCAGCAAUGACUUUUGCAUCGGAAAUAGUGUUGCUGUUUACUAUAAUUUCGUUGAUAUUGGAUUUGUUAUUCUUACCAAUAAGAGAAUUGAUCAGCCACCAGGUCUUUUUAAGGUCACUUGAGCAGUGUUGCACUUUCCAAUUAUUUUCUAAAGACCUGAAACUAUCUGGCGGACCCCUGGACCAUUUCCGGAAACAAAAACAAACACUACAGGGGCCGGUUGUUCAAAGCUGGGUUAGCUUAACCCUACGUUAACGUAAAUUUCAAAGCAAACUUCCUGACAGUU
rnacentral:lncRNA from 1 species